rnacentral:rRNA from 1 species
UGGCGGACGGGUGAGUAAUGUCUGGGAAACUGCCCGAUGGAGGGGGAUAACUACUGGAAACGGUAGCUAAUACCGCAUAACGUCGCAAGACCAAAGAGGGGGACCUUCGGGCCUCUUGCCAUCGGAUGUGCCCAGAUGGGAUUAGCUAGUAGGUGGGGUAACGGCUCACCUAGGCGACGAUCCCUAGCUGGUCUGAGAGGAUGACCAGCCACACUGGAACUGAGACACGGCCCAA